CAGUCGCCACGGUAAUACGAAGGGUGCAAGCGUUAAUCGGAAUUACUGGGCGUAAAGCGUGCGUAGGCGGUUUGUUAAGUCUGCUGUGAAAUCCCCGGGCUCAACCUGGGAAUGGCAAUGGAUACUGGCAAGCUAGAGUGUGUCAGAGGAUGGUGGAAUUCCCGGUGUAGCGGUGAAAUGCGUAGAGAUCGGGAGGAACAUCAGUGGCGAAGGCGGCCAUCUGGGACAACACUGACGCUGAGGCACGAAAGCGUGGGGAGCAAACAGGAUUAGAUACCCCGGUAGUCCCUGUCUCUUAUAC
rnacentral:rRNA from 1 species